rnacentral:rRNA from 1 species
GACGAACGCUGGCGGCGUGCUUAACACAUGCAAGUCGAACGGAAAGGCCCUGCUUUUGUGGGGUGCUCGAGUGGCGAACGGGUGAGUAACACGUGAGUAACCUGCCCUUGACUUUGGGAUAACUUCAGGAAACUGGGGCUAAUACCGGAUAGGAGCUCCUGCUGCAUGGUGGGGGUUGGAAAGUUUCGGCGGUUGGGGAUGGACUCGCGGCUUAUCAGCUUGUUGGUGGGGUAGUGGCUUACCAAGGCUUUGACGGGUAGCCGGCCUGAGAGGGUGACCGGCCACAUUGGGACUGAGAUACGGCCCAGACUCCUACGGGCGGCAGCAGUGUGGGAUAUUGCACAAUGGGCGGAAGCCUGAUGCAGCAACGCCGCGUGCGGGAUGACGGCCUUCGGGUUGUAAACCGCUUUCGCCUGUGACGAAGCGUGAGUGACGGUAAUGGGUAAAGAAGCACCGGCUAACUACGUG